rnacentral:tRNA from 1 species
GGGAGUAUAGCUCAGUGGUAGAGCACAUGCUUAGCAUGCACAAGGUCCUAGGUUCAAUCCCCAGUGCCUCCA